CAGAUCUGAAGCAACACUUUGCAUGACCUUUGUCACGGGCAGUUAUUGAAUGUUUACUCACCCGAACUCUACUGGGCCUUGUACAUUCACCUUUGCCAGAGACUGUGUCUUCAGAGUCACCAGCAAGGCUCCCUCACCUGCUCCAUACACAUGCUCACAGAUGGCACUCUUGGGGACUGGAAGUACAGAUCCAAGACGCAGUUUCUCUUGGAGUAUUCAUAGCUCAACUGGAAAGCAAACCAUAAUGAAGCUGAGAAACAGACAAAUUUAGAAACUACGAAUUAAAAUGAUGCAGAGCCCAACGGGAUCACAAAGAGGAAACUGUCAUCAACAGCAAAAGCCCAACACAGAGGCAAAGCCACUGACAGGCACAACCUGAGACGUGGAGGGGAUUUGUGGGGAUUGCAGAGACUCCGAGAAGGCUGAAACUGCUGCCCCAAACCAGGAAGCAACCCAUCCUCCACUCUGCUCCAGCAUCAGCCCACUCACGGUUGGGGACCACAGCUCCAGCUCACGGGAGACAACCACAGCCCAGGCUCACAGGAGGGGGCCACAGCUCCAGGGUCAUGGGAGGGGUCAUAGUUUCAAUUACGCAGGUUCCUACUAUUUUUCUGUCUCCGUCUCUCUGUCCACAUGGUUAUGCUUAUGUUUAAGAAGAGCAUGUUGACUUCUGUGCAGCAAACAGAGGCAAGAGCUGCUUGUUGGCUUGAAUUUCUCGCUAGAGAGGGCAUCAGUUGAAGAAAACCACUUUUCACUUUUGCUCAAGGAGACAGACGAAUCAGUGUUCUUCUUGUUCAUGGUCUUUUGGUGUCCGCUGUUUUCACAUCUUCCUCCGUGGUCAGGGAGACAGGCGACGAGACAUCUUACCGGAGUUCCGUUGCAAGUCCUCUGAUUGAAACACAAAAGUCAUUUCCCACUUAAAACUCUCCACCUUCGCCAUGCCCUGGGCCAGGCACUUGAGGAGUAUACAACCAGCUCUGAGGUCCUCGUAAACCUUCCCUCUCUUCUCCAUUGCCCCGGGGCAGCUGUGCUGCCACCAUCUUGGCUCCCAGUUACUUUCUUUCUUAUUUGCCAAGACCUAAGAUCUUUGUAGGAGAUGUUUUCUCUUUCCAGAAAAAUUCUGGUACCCACAGAUGAGAACUCAGCUACAUUAUGCAAAAUGAGAGACACAGGAACAGUUUACUGGAUUCAUCACAGAUUAUACUCACAAACAGCACCGAAGCAGAAAGCCUCUUCAGAACAUCAGAUCGUGACCUGCUGUUGAUUUCCAGCAAUGAACAUCUGCCAUCCUUGGAAUAACAUAGACUAGAAGUUCUUUGAAACGAUGCCGUCCGCCUUUGCCAGUUGAAGAAUAGAAUCAUCUGACUCACCCAUCCUGCGAAUGGCUCCACAGAUAAGUUACCUUGCCAACCUCUGCCGCAUUCUUCUGGAUGGAUGCGUGGUCCUUCACACCAAUGAUGCGAUUGCUCACGGAACAUAACUCUCCGGCGUCGUUCUGCAUGUCUAGGCAAUGCCUGCUUCCUCCAGUCCAGCACCAGUGCAAAAAGGGGAAUAACCUAACUUUUAAGUAAUGUAUUUAAUGUGUGGGAAAUUUUCUUUGCCUCUUGUCUUGUAAACGGUGAACAAUGAACAGACUUUUCUCUCACAGUUCUUUGACUCAGGCAUAGUUUAUAAACAUAGUGAUGUUAUAAACAUAUAAUUAAACCUAGAUUACAUUAAUUAGUAAUAGAGAUAGGUAGAAGCAGACUGAGAAACAGAACUCUGAGCAUAGAUGUUGUCUGUUAUAUACACUGUAACAUUUGGCUGGAGUUUGUGUAGAGAUAAUUACAGUUUACUUAUAGUUGGCCAAUACUGAGGUCUAGCCAUAUGCAAUGUACCCUUCUAAUUUACUUGAUCUGUUUCGUUGAUUUCUCUGA